rnacentral:rRNA from 1 species
GGACUUCNUUCUGGUGUCGAGUGGCAAACGGGUGAGUAAGGUAUCGGAACGUGACUAGUAUCGGGGGAUAACUACACGAAAGGGUAACUUAUACCGCAAACGCCCUACGGGGGAAAGCAGGGGAUCGCAAGACCUUGCACUAUUAGAGCGGCCGAUAUCGGAUUANCUAGUUGGUGGGGUAACGGCUCACCAAGGCGACGAUCCGUAGCUGGUUUGAGAGGACGACCAACCACACUGGGACUGAAACACNGCCCAGACUCCUACUCCAGGCUCAUUGGGGAAUUUUGGACNNUGGGGGAAACCCUGAUCCAGCCAUCCCGCGUGUGCGAUGAAGGCCUUCNGGUUGUAAAGCACUUUUGGCUUGAAAGAAACGUCAUGGGCUAAUACCCCGUGAAACUGACGGUACCUGCAGAAUAAGCACCGGCUAACUACGUGCCAGCACCCGCGGUAAUACGUAGGGUGCAAGCGUUA